rnacentral:rRNA from 1 species
UACGACGGGGGCUAGCGUUGCUCGGAAUCACUGUGCGUAAAGCGCACGUCGGCGGUUUGCUAAGUCGGGGGUGAAAUCCUGGAGCUCAACUCCAGAACUGCCUUUGAUACUGGCGGACUUGAGUCCGGGAGAGGUGAGUGGAACUGCGAGUGUAGAGGUGAAAUUCGUAGAUAUUCGCAAGAACACCAGUGGCGAAGGCGGCUCACUGGCCCGGUACUGACGCUGAGGCACGAAAGCGUGGGGAGCAAACAGG